AAUAUUGGAUAAUGGGGGCAACGCUGAUCCAGCCAUGCCGCGUGUGUGAAGAAGGUCUNCGGAUUNUNAUGUUCUAUAAGUUGGGNGGAAGGGCUUUAGGCUAAUACCCUGACGUAUUGACGUUACCAACAGAAUAAGCACCGGCUAACUUGUUGCCAGCAGCCGAGGUAAUACAGAAGGUGCAAGCGUUAAUCGGAAUUACUGGUCGUAAAGCGGACGUAGGUGUGUCAGUAAGAUGGGGGUGAAAUCCCCGGGCUUAACCUGGGAAUUGCUUUCAUAACUGCUGAGCUAGAGUACGGUAGAGGGUAGUGGAAUUUCCUGUGUAGCGGUGAAAUGCGUAGAUAUAGGAAGGAACACCAGUGGCGAAGGCGACUACCUGGACUGAUACUGACACUGAGGUGCGAAAGCGUGGGGAGCAAAC
rnacentral:rRNA from 1 species